GGGCGUAUGGUCUAGAGGUAUGAUACCUGCUUUGGGUGCCUGAUAACUCAUUGCAGGGGGUCUUCGGUUCGAAUCCGGAUUCGCCCC
rnacentral:tRNA from 2 species